UACAGAGGGUGCAAGCGUUGUUCGGAAUUACUGGGCGUAAAGCGCGUGUAGGUGGCGAUGUAAGUCGGGUGUGAAAUCCCUCGGCUCAACCGAGGAAGUGCACUCGAUACUGUGUCGCUUGAGUGUUGGAGGGGAUGGCGGAAUUCCCGGUGUAGAGGUGAAAUUCGUAGAUAUUCGGAAGAACACCAGUGGCGAAGGCGGCGAGCUGGUCCAUUACUGACGCUGAGGCGCGACAGCGUGGGGAGCAAACAGG
rnacentral:rRNA from 1 species